GCGUGUUUACUUUAGGUGCGCUACCUGCCAGAACAACGGCCCACUCAGUCAGAACAGUCUUUCAAGGAUAGGUCUGAUCGUUCCAACCAACUUUUUCCAUCUUCUUGCCAUUUCGUUUCAGUAAUCCAGCAUCAAGUUGAAUUUGGUAUCUGUUUAUUUACAUAUAACCUUGUUAAUCAUUCGUCAUUAUUUUCCGUGAAGUGACAAAAUUAUCAUAGAAGUCUGAUUAACAGACUACGUAAUUUGUGCUAUUAUGCUGUGUUCUAUCGUUUGCUGUCCAUUGCAGAAUGGGAGUAGGCAGAAAACUUGUCUUUUUAUGACAGGUAAAUCAUGUUGCAAGAGAAGUAACCGAAUGGGAUCUGUAAGGGUAUACGACGCCUAGUGAGCAAAGAGAAAAAUAAAGGUCGAGGCUGUUCGUGAUGAGACGUAGGAGUGAGACACGACAGCCUAGUAAUACCUUCAAAGAUAACGGGGUUUGAAGAAAGAUCUUUUAUUUUAUGU